GAUGAACGCUGGCGGCGUGCCUAAUACAUGCAAGUCGAGCGGACAGACGAGGAGCUUGCUCCUCUGACGUUAGCGGCGGACGGGUGAGUAACACGUGGAUAACCUACCUAUAAGACUGGGAUAACUUCGGGAAACCGGAGCUAAUACCGGAUAAUAUAUUGAACCGCAUGGUUCAAUAGUGAAAGACGGUUUUGCUGUCACUUAUAGAUGGAUCCGCGCCGCAUUAGCUAGUUGGUAAGGUAACGGCUUACCAAGGCAACGAUGCGUAGCCGACCUGAGAGGGUGAUCGGCCACACUGGAACUGAGACACGGUCCAGACUCCUACGGGAGGCAGCAGUAGGGAAUCUUCCGCAAUGGGCGAAAGCCUGACGGAGCAACGCCGCGUGAGUGAUGAUGGUCUUCGGAUCGUAAAACUCUGUUAUUAGGGAAGAACAAAUGUGUAAGUAACUAUGCACGUCUUGACGGUACCUAAUCAGAAAGCCACGGCUAACUACGUG
rnacentral:rRNA from 1 species